GACGAACGCUGGCGGCAGGCCUAACACAUGCAAGUCGAACGCCCGUAGCAAUACGGGAGUGGCAGACGGGUGAGUAACGCGUGGGAACGUGCCCUUCGGUUCGGAAUAACUCAGGGAAACUUGAGCUAAUACCGGAUACGUCCGUAAGGAGAAAGAUUUAUCGCCGAAGGAUCGGCCCGCGUCGGAUUAGCUAGUUGGUGAGGUAAUGGCUCACCAAGGCGACGAUCCGUAGCUGGUCGAGAGGAUGAUCAGCCACACUGGGACUGAGACACGGCCCAGACUCCUACGGGAGGCAGCAGUGGGGAAUAUUGGACAAUGGGGCAACCCUGAUCCAGCCAUGCCGCGUGAGUGAUGAAGGCCUUCGGUUGUAAG
rnacentral:rRNA from 1 species